AAAAAAAAACUAUAUGUUCAGGGAUCAUUUCUACAGUUUGUUACUGAGGAAGUUUCUCUGAAUGUGCAGAGCAGCAGAAACCACGAGGAGGACACGCAGCGUUCUCUCCCGAGCAUGAAGCUGGCUUCUGCCGCUGCCGUUAGCCAUUGAUGAUCAUUCUUCUUUUCCUUCUGGAGAGUAAGAGGGAAACAGUGUAGCCUGAGUGGU
ensembl:snoRNA U3 Small nucleolar RNA U3